AAGCUAUUAGGUGGAUGACUCGGCUCAAGCGCUGAUGAAGGGCGCGACAAGCUGCGCAAAGCUCCGGGUAGCCGCACGUAGGCGUUGAACCGGAGAUACCCUAAUGCGACUUCAGCAUUAAAUCCGUAAGGAUGGGGAACGCGGGGAAUUGAAACGUCUUAGUACCCGCAGGAAAAGAAACCAAUUGGGAUGCUGUUAGUAACAGCGAGUGAAAACAGCACAAGGCAAACUGAAUCCUUUGUAGAAAUGCAAAGGAGAUGUGGUGUUUGGUCCAUACGUUAAAUUCCUAACCUGGAAAGCCAAAGUUGCCUGGAAAGGCACGCUAUAAAGUGUGAUAGCCACGUAGGCGUAACUGGGAGGAGCUAGUAUGGUAAUCAGAGUACCGUUAACCGGAUACUUAACGGGAAUUUGGGGGGCAUCAACCUCUAACCUUAAAUACGUCUUGAGUCCGAUAGCAAACUAGAGUACAGUGAUGGAAAGUUGAAAAGCACCCUUAACAGGAAGUGCAAAGAACCUGAAACCUAAUAGCGAUAGUCGGACACGGCGAUGAGUUGUGUCAUACGUUUCGAAUAACGUGCCAGGGAGUUUAUUUGAGUGGCAAGGGUAAUUCCUUAAAGAAGGACCCGAAGCGAAAGCAACAUGCCCGCAAUUCAUGAGGGGCGCGGUACGAAAGUGCCGGUAGUCACUUGGAUACGACCCGAAGCCAGACGAUCUAGCCCAUGGUAAGGUGAAGCCCCGGUAAAACGGGGUGGAGGCCUGCAGAGGUUCUACGAGCAAGUGUUCUUCUAACCUAGGGCUAGGGGUAAAAAGCCCAUCGAGUCUGGCGAUAGCUGGUUCCUAUCGAAGUUGGCCGCAGUCAAGCUUUGGCAGAGAUUAUCAGGAAGGUAGAGCUACGGGUUAAGAGCUUAGGACCCGAAAGGGUUCGGCACUUUGUCCAACUCCGAAUUUCCUGACAUCGAAGAAGCCAAAAGACGGGUAACGUUGGGGUAAACUUCGUUACCGAGAGGGGAACAACCCGGACUGGAGUUAAGGUCCCAAAAUAUCGGCUAAGUGUUAAAGGGAUAAGGGCGUCUAUUGUCAAAGACAGCGAGGAGGUUGGCUCAGAAGCAGCCACCCUUUAAAAAGUGCGUAACAGCUUACUCGUCAAGACAAUAGGCCCUGAAAAUGGACGGGGCUAAGCCGGUUACCGAUACUUCAGACAUGCUAAAAGCAUUGUGGUAGAUAGGCGUCCUGCGAGGGCAGAAGUGCCUUCGAGAGUUGGUAUCAACCUCGCAGAAAUGAGAAUCCUGGCGGUAGUAGGAUCAUAGAAGAGUUAGAAUCUCUUCCACUGAAAGGGCAAGGGUUCCUUGGCAAUGCAGAUCAGCCAAGGGUUAGUUGGUCCUAACCAAACUCAUAGAUUGAGUCGCAGGAAAGGGCAAGAGGUUAAUAUUCCUCUACUAUUCAAGUAUGUGCGGCAACGCAAUUUCUGUUUCUGACGCUUUGGAUCAGGCUAACACGGAUAGCUUUUCGUGUCAACCAUUGCAAAUCAAGGGAGUAUCAUAACGAUGAGAACUUGAUUAAAGGUGGGACGAGUACUCCUUUGGAGUAUUUAACUGAUAUCUUGAGCCCCUGAAAAAGGAACAGAAAAAAAUCUUGGAUAACCAUACCCAGAACCAGCACAGGUGCCCCUAGGUGAGAAGCCUCAAGUGUGAGAGUAUAAUCCGGGUAAGGGAAGUCGGCAAAUUAGCCAUGUGCCUUCGGUACAAAUGGUCCCUGCUGUUGUGUCGUGGAGAUGCGAUUGCAGGGUGCAAUAACAAGAGGAAUCCAACUGUUUAACAAAAACUUAGCUCUUCGCGAGUCCGAAAGGAUGUGUAUGAAGGGUGACGUCUGCCCAGUGCCAGUAUCCGAAACUUCUUUUCAAGGAAACUAAGGACUGGUAAACGGCGGGGGUAACUGUAACUCUCUUAAGGUAGCGAAAUACCUUGUCGUUUGAUUGGCGACGUGCAUGAAUGACGUAAUGAGAUUCCUGCUGUCCCUACCUGGAAGCUCCUGAACACUCUUUUCUGGUGUAAAGGCCAGAGACCUCUAGUGGGAAGUGAAGACCCCGUGAAACUUUACUGUAGUCUGUUGUUGUGGUAUUGGAUGUGUUGUGUAGCGUAGCUAGUAGUUGCUCGAUACUUGGCUGCUAGGUCAAGGGUAGACGAAAAUGAAACACUAGUCUGCAUGUUCGAUACUGCUUACCGAGGAAACUUGGGACAGCUGCAGAUGGACAGUUUGGCUGGGGUGGCACACCCUUGAAACUAUAUCAAGGGUGCUCAAUGGUUGGCUCAAUCCGGUCAGAAAUCGGAUGUGGAGUGCAAGGGCAUAAGCCAGCCUGACUGGAUUUCCAAUAACUCGAAAUCCAGACACGAAAGUGGGACCUAGCGAUCCCCUGUGUCCUCAUUGAUGGGGGCCAGGUGUGACGGAAAAGUUACUCCGGGGAUAACAGAGUGGUCGCGCCCGAGAGCUCAUAUCGACGGCGCGUCUUGCUACAUCGACGUCGGCUCUUCCUAUCCUGGGCGUGCAGAAGCGUCCAAGGGUGGGGGUGUUCACCCAUUAAAAGGGAUGUUAGCUGGGUUCAAUACGUUGUGAGACAGUAUGUAUAAUAUCUA
rnacentral:rRNA from 1 species